rnacentral:lncRNA from 1 species
GAAUUUUUUAUAUAUUUUAUUUUGAAUAAAUUGGGAUUUUAGUGGUUUUUCAUAAAAAAUUACUUAAUUUUUUUAGUUUUCAGUACCUUUAAUCGAGGCAAAUCCAAAACAUAAAAAAAGGGGAUAAUUAGAGAAAAAUAAUGCUCCGCCAUCAGAUCUACCUACCACCUACGCCAAUCGGAACAUCACUUCCAAAUCUGUGAUUAGAGUCAUAUAACGAACCAAGCCCCUCCAGAUCUAAUACGAAAUUGUUCCAGUUUACUACUUUCAAUCAGUAAUGUCUUGUAUUUGAAAACAAUUGUUAAUGCUUAAAUCAGUGAAUUUCAUUAUAUAAAACCAAAAAAAUUGCUUUCAGUGAUACUUGGUGUUUGAUGUUUGUUUAAAUUUUAAUUCUUCUUCUUCUCCUCUUCGUCUUCUAGAUAGUUUGAUAAAAAUAAAAAAUUUAAGCAAUAUUAGUGAAAUUUUACUAAAGCUUUUUGAUAAAAUGAAUGUUGAUAACUACGCAUAUGUUGAUUAAUUUGUAUUCAGUUUGUAUUUAGCACUAGCUUGAAUUUUAUUUCUUGUUCUUGUACUCUCCUCCUCCUUGGUCUUUUAUAUAGUUUGAUUUAAAAAAAAAUAAAAUUUGAAGCACUAUUAGUGAAAUUUUACUAAUUCUGCUUUUAGUUUUUAAAAUUUUCCUAAUUAGACGCAGGAUUAAUGAAAUUAGUGAGAUUUUAUUAAUUUAAAAAUAAUACCAAUUAAAUUUCACUAAAAUUUUGGCAAAAAAUAUAAUGAAAUUUUGUCAAAUUUUAUGUGAAGUGUUGAUGGUGGUGUAUGGUCAGAAGAUACGUUAAAGUUAGUCGCUGAUGAAGAUUUUUUUUUAUAACUUGAAAAAGAUUAUUAUUGUUCGUUGGCUGUAGAUGAAAGUUGUCAGAAUUGGCCGUCAAUUGGCAGUGCAGGUUGCCAUCGGUGGUGAGAUCGCCGGAGAUGUUACGCGGUUGGCAGCGAGGUUGUCAGAAAGUUCACAUAUCGUAUAGGUAGUUUUGCUUAAGAAAAUUUUUUUUUGUUAUUUACACUUAUAAAAAGUCAAAUUAUGAGAAUUUUUUGACUAAGUCACACUAAAAAAUUGAAAGAAAAAAAAAAAUUACCAACAAGUGAACUAGGCUACUAGUUUGCUAAAAAAAAUUACCAAAAACACAAAUAAUUUAAAAUAAGCCUAUUUAUCCCCAAAAAAUUGAUGUAUUAUUUGGAAAUGUCUACAUUCUAUUUUGACAAAAGGACCAGUUUACUUUUUAGUUGCUUCCUACACUGAUCGUCUAAACUAUAACUCUUACGAGUAGCUCAACAGGUAAAAAUACUAAUUUUAUAUUCAAGAGAUUGUUAAUUCAAAUCCCUUUAAAAUUACUAAAAAGUUUACUCAAUCGUUAAUCAUCAGAAUCUUUAAAUUAAUUUUUUUUUGACCUAAUUGUGAUAGACAGAAAUGUCGGAUUAUAAAAAAAAAAUUAGUCCAUGUAAUUGUAGUCAACUUUUUUGUCAUCAAACAAUAGGUAAUAUAUAUGAUUUAAGAAAAUAAGCUUAAAUAAAUAUAAAGAAAUUACGUAAACAAUUAAAUUAAAAUAAUUUAGUAUUUCGUGACAUUAGGAAUAUUUCAUAUAUUAAUGCACGAAAUAUUUUACACCCAAGUGAGAUUGGGUCUCAUGUAUAAAGUAAUUAAUGCACUAAUUUAUAAGUAUAGCUAAUUUUAUUAUAAGUAUAGCUAAGUUUAUUCUUUGAUGGAACAAUUUCAUGAAUAAUUAAUUAAAUUUAUAUUUAUUGGGAAAUAAUAAUGCGUCCGGGUGUUUGCAUCAUAAAUGCCUCGUGUCUCUAAUCUGCAAAAGUCACCAUCUUGGAUCGUCGCCAUCGAUAAAGCUUCACGUCAGAGCUUCGUUGUCUCCGGCUCCUUUUCGCUCUCCAAAUAUUCCCAUUUCCCCCCAUAUAUUUACAAAAACUGCCAUUUUAUAACAAUUUUGCAUAGUUUAAAUAAAAAUAAAAUACAAGAAUUAUAACUAAAAAGAAAAAGAAAAAGAAAUUCAUGCUUUUUUAUUCUCAUGCAUUUCCUUAAAUGAAGGUAAGAUGCGGAAAAAUAAGAGUAAUUACUUUUUACCUAAAAAGGCCUAUACACAAUAGGUAAAUACCUAGAUAAAACAUGUGAAAAAUGUUUUUAAUGUAGGAUAAAAUCCUCACUUACCAAUGAUUUGAGAUGGACACGUCAUUUAGAGGGACCACGUAGUCAACGUUUGUUAUGGUCAUCAUCCACCUUGAGGAUCGUAUCGUCUCCUCCAAUGUUCAUGUCACCAAUUUCUAUGAGAUCGCCAUAUCAUCCAUCUUGCCAAUGGGCGAGGUUGAUCACUCCGUCUAGUCGAAAAACUUCACCUCUAUAAAGAAUCUAGCUCCAUGAGACCUCUUCUCUAAUAUAUCUCCUAUAAUUGUGGAUUAUUCUCCGCAUGACAUCUUCCUAAUAUUACUCCGAUAUUUCCGAGUU